UCAGGCCUAACACAUACAAGUCGAACGGCAGCACGGGUGCUUGCACCUGGUAAAAAGUGGCGAACGGGUGAGUAAUACAUCGGAACGUACCUUAUUGUGGGGGAUAACGCAGCGAAAGCUGUGCUAAUACCGCAUAAUCCCUAAGGGGGAAAGCGGGGGACCGUAAGGCCUCGCGCAAUUAGAGCGGCCGAUACCUGAUUAGCUAGUUGGUGAGGUAAAGGCUCACCAAGGCAACGAUCAGUAGCUGGUCUGAGAGGACGAUCAGCCACACUGGGACUGAGACACGGCCCAGACUCCUACGGGAGGCAGCAGUGGGGAACUUUGGACAAUGGGGGCAACCCUGAUCCAAAGAUGCCGCGUGAGUGAAGAAGGCCUUCGGGUUGU
rnacentral:rRNA from 1 species